GCAAAUGUAUACAAAGUCAGGUGUG
rnacentral:piRNA from 1 species